rnacentral:rRNA from 1 species
GGCGAACGGGUGAGUAAUACAUCGGAACGUGCCUAGUAGUGGGGGAUAACUACUCGAAAGAGUAGCUAAUACCGCAUGAGAUCUACGGAUGAAAGCAGGGGACCUUCGGGCCUUGUGCUACUAGAGCGGCUGAUGGCAGAUUAGGUAGUUGGUGGGGUAAAGGCUUACCAAGCCUGCGAUCUGUAGCUGGUCUGAGAGGACGACCAGCCACACUGGGACUGAGACACGGCCCAGACUCCUACGGGAGGCAGCAGUGGGGAAUUUUGGACAAUGGGCGAAAGCCUGAUCCAGCAAUGCCGCGUGCAGGAUGAAGGCCCUCGGGUUGUAAACUGCUUUUGUACGGAACGAAAAGCCUGGGGCUAAUAUCCCCGGGUCAUGACGGUACCGUAAGAAUAAGCACCGGCUAACUACGUGCCAGCAGCCGCGGUAAUACGUAGGGUGCAAGCGUUAAUCGGAAUUACUGGGCGUAAAGCGUGCGCAGGCGGUUUUGUAAGACAG